rnacentral:rRNA from 1 species
CCUACGGGUGGCAGCAGUGGGGAAUAUUGCGCAAUGGGCGAAAGCCUGACGCAGCGACGCCGCGUGAGGGAUGAAUGUCCUCGGAUCGUAAACCUCUGUCAGCAGGGAAGAACGGUCACUGUGCUAAUCAGCAGUGAAUUGACGGUACCUGCAAAGGAAGCACCGGCUAACUCCGUGCCAGCAGCCGCGGUAAUACGGAGGGUGCGAGCGUUAAUCGGAAUUACUGGGCGUAAAGCGCUCGUAGGCGGUAUGUCAAGUCAAGGGUGAAAUCCCGGCGCUCAACGUGGGAACUGCCUUUGAAACUGGCAGACUGGAGUGUGUGAGAGGAUAGUGGAAUUCCAGGUGUAGGAGUGAAAUCCGUAGAUAUCUGGAGGAACAUCAGUGGCGAAGGCGACUAUCUGGCACAUAACUGACGCUGAGGAGCGAAAGCGUGGGUAGCAAACAGGAUUAGAUACCCGAGUAGUC